rnacentral:misc_RNA from 1 species
GAUGAAGAACGCAGCGAAAUGCGAUAAGUAAUGUGAAUUGCAGAAUUCAGUGAAUCAUCGAAUCUUUGAACGCACAUUGCGCCCGCCAGUAUUCUGGCGGGCAUGCCUGUCUGAGCGUCAUUUCAACCCUCAUGCCCCUAGGGCGUGGUGUUGGGGAUCGGCGAGCCUUUCUGGCAAGCCGGCCCCGAAAUCUAGUGGCGGUCUCGCUGCAGCCUCCAUUGCGUAGUAGUAAAACCCUCGCAACUGGAACGCGGCGCGGCCAAGCCGUUAAACCCCCAACUUCUGAAUGUUGACCUCGGAUCAGGUAGGAAUACCCGCUGAACUUAAGCAUAUCAAUAAGCGGAGGA